GAAAUUAUUACGAUUUUCGGUUAGGUUGUACGGAUAUUACUUUUGGCUUAUUCGAGUAAACCGAAUAACCGAACAAGCUAAGCAAAGUCUACAGAUCUACUCAUCUACACGAUAACAGGACUCGUCGACUACAUUCAAUCACUCAUCUUAGUCAUCUACUUUACUAAACUGUUUGAAGUCUCUGUCCUCUGAAGGCUACACGACUCGUCGAUCUCGAUCCUCAUCUACACGACUCGUCGAUCUCGAUCCUCUGAAGUCUCUGUCCUCUGAAGUCUCAAUCUCUGUCCUCUCACCUCUGAAGUCUCAACUCUCAACUCUCAACUCUCAACAGUCAGUCAGUCAACAGAUCUCGAUCGAUUUCUCUCAGAGUCGGACUCUCAGAGAUCUCGAACUCUCAUCGCCUCAUCGGUCGACGCGUCACGCCGACGGCAUCCGGUACGAUUUUCCUUCAACUUCAUUCUCUUACUCUCUAAUGGCUGCUCUGAAUUGAUUUAAUGGUUUUAUCAGUUGAGCUCCUAAAAAAUUGAUUUCAUGGUUUUAUCAGUUGCACGAUAUUAUCAAAUAGGUAGUAAUUGAAGUGUAUUAACAAUUGUGGUGGCUAUUAACUUUCUUGUCUCUGUUUGCAUUUGAAGAAUAGCUUGUUCUCUCCUAAAAUUUGGUUUCUAUGGUUUGCUGAAUUCUGAUUGUGUGUUGGCAGGCUGAAAUUGGAGACUUGUCUAGUAUUUUCUAUGGAGACCUAAUUUGAAUUUUGAAGGCAUAGCCUAUUUUUGGGGUGAUUUUCUACUUUCAAUUGUGCAGCACAUCAUAUAAAGAUAAUCUGUCUUGACAAGUAUAGAAGUUAGUUCAUAGGUAUUAUUGAAUAGUUUUGUUUUAUUGGCUAUUUUAAUAAUCCCAAAAGAUGAGGUAUUGUUGUGUUAAUGUUGUCAGGGUUGUGCAAUGAAUAAAAUUGACCAAAAUCUGAAGUCACAUUGUUAUGAUUAGGCAAUAAUAAUAAAUAUGUUUGGUGGCGUGACCGACGUGGAUUUGUAUGUUAGGCAUAUAGUAUUGUAUAUGGUCGUAUAUUUUUGUACUUUAUUUGAUUUUCUAAUGAUCCCCUUAAACAAUAUGAAAUGUAUACUUUCUUGAUUAUAUAUAUAUAUAGUUUUAAUUAACGUACUAGUAGUACGUAGGUAUCAUCAAUUAGUAAAGUAGUACUGUAGUAGUAAGUAACCAUGUUUUCAAGGUGCAAUAUGCUAUAAUCAUGGUGUAUACUGUAUAUCCCAUUGUUAUUUUAGAUUAUACUAGAAGUCUGGCUGUAUCAUGCACAUUACUUGCUAAAACUGAAGGCCGUGUAUUAGGCAACAAAAUUUUGAAAACUUAAAGAGGAAAUUGGUUUUAUCUUCAUCUCCCCUUGAUUUUCUUGAGCAGCCCCAGAUGACACUUGGACCACAUUUCAUGUCAGGUAAGACUGAAUAAGACCCCAACUCAACACCAUGUUUAAUAUUAGUUAUUGGUUGCGAAUUGUUGAUACUUGAAUUUCUUUAUACCUGCCUUUGUUUUGUGUACAUCAUGUUUUUUCUGCAGUUUGAAAUGUAUUUUUGUGUUCAUCUUCUCCUAAUAUUUUUUAUAUGAAGUUGAGGAAAAAAAAUGCUCUGUAUUGACUCUCACAGUGGGAAUAUUAAUCCAAAUAUUAAUUUAAUUUAUAUCAACUGCAGGAGCACCCAUACUUGAACAGGCCGUGGUAUACAUUACAUAUGAGUCAUUGAAGAAAAUAUGAGUUGAAUUCAUUCUUAUCUUCUAAGCUCAAGUCUCUGUCAUUACUGUUGAAGUUUCCCAAUGUAAUGGAUAGAAGGAAACUACUAAUUCUGGUUUGAUUUUGUAAUGUACUCUACAUUUUAGUUACUGCAUGAGUUUUUGCUUUUGGUUCCAAAAUGUAGCAUAAUUGCCAUUUUUCUCUUGUAAAGUAGUACUGUAGUUGUUGAAUGUUGUCCGUUCUCUGUUGGAAAUUCAUGUUGUGUUGUCAGUUGGUGUAUUCAUGUUGUGUUGUCAGUAUAUCAGUUGGACUUGGUGUUGUUGAUUGUUGUUGAAUGUUGUCUCAGUUGGUGUUGAAGAAUGUUGACUGUAGACAUAUAACACUGUUAGGAUAAUUCAUGCUGAUUGCUGUGUAGCGUGUCUG
rnacentral:lncRNA from 1 species